GGACGAACGCUGGCGGCGUGCCUAAUACAUGCAAGUCGAACGAACUCUGGUAUUGAUUGGUGCUUGCAUCAUGAUUUACAUUUGAGUGAGUGGCGAACUGGUGAGUAACACGUGGGAAACCUGCCCAGAAGCGGGGGAUAACACCUGGAAACAGAUGCUAAUACCGCAUAACAACUUGGACCGCAUGGUCCGAGUUUGAAAGAUGGCUUCGGCUAUCACUUUUGGAUGGUCCCGCGGCGUAUUAGCUAGAUGGUGGGGUAACGGCUCACCAUGGCAAUGAUACGUAGCCGACCUGAGAGGGUAAUCGGCCACAUUGGGACUGAGACACGGCCCAAACUCCUACGGGAGGCAGCAGUAGGGAAUCUUCCACAAUGGACGAAAGUCUGAUGGAGCAACGCCGCGUGAGUGAAGAAGGGUUUCGGCUCGUAAAACUCUGUUGUUAAAGAAGAACAUAUCUGAGAGUAACUGUUCAGGUAUUGACGGUAUUUAACCAGAAAGCCACGGCUAACUACGUGCCAGCAGCCGCGGUAAUACGUAGGUGGCAAGCGUUGUCCGGAUUUAUUGGGCGUAAAGCGAGCGCAGGCGGUUUUUUAAGUCUGAUGUGAAAGCCUUCGGCUCAACCGAAGAAGUGCAUCGGAAACUGGGAAACUUGAGUGCAGAAGAGGACAGUGGAACUCCAUGUGUAGCGGUGAAAUGCGUAGAUAUAUGGAAGAACACCAGUGGCGAAGGCGGCUGUCUGGUCUGUAACUGACGCUGAGGCUCGAAAGUAUGGGUAGCAAACAGGAUUAGAUACCCUGGUAGUCCAUACCGUAAACGAUGAAUGCUAAGUGUUGGAGGGUUUCCGCCCUUCAGUGCUGCAGCUAACGCAUUAAGCAUUCCGCCUGGGGAGUACGGCCGCAAGGCUGAAACUCAAAGGAAUUGACGGGGGCCCGCACAAGCGGUGGAGCAUGUGGUUUAAUUCGAAGCUACGCGAAGAACCUUACCAGGUCUUGACAUACUAUGCAAAUCUAAGAGAUUAGACGUUCCCUUCGGGGACAUGGAUACAGGUGGUGCAUGGUUGUCGUCAGCUCGUGUCGUGAGAUGUUGGGUUAAGUCCCGCAACGAGCGCAACCCUUAUUAUCAGUUGCCAGCAUUAAGUUGGGCACUCUGGUGAGACUGCCGGUGACAAACCGGAGGAAGGUGGGGAUGACGUCAAAUCAUCAUGCCCCUUAUGACCUGGGCUACACACGUGCUACAAUGGAUGGUACAACGAGUUGCGAACUCGCGAGAGUAAGCUAAUCUCUUAAAGCCAUUCUCAGUUCGGAUUGUAGGCUGCAACUCGCCUACAUGAAGUCGGAAUCGCUAGUAAUCGCGGAUCAGCAUGCCGCGGUGAAUACGUUCCCGGGCCUUGUACACACCGCCCGUCACACCAUGAGAGUUUGUAACACCCAAAGUCGGUGGGGUAACCUUUUAGGAACCAGCCGCCUAAGGUGGGACAGAUGAUUAGGG
rnacentral:rRNA from 2 species